UUUCAUCAUGGCGUCUCGUGUGACAGACGGUCCUGUGGUCUGUCGUGGCGGUAGAUCGCAACUUUAAGCAAAUGGCGUUGCGGUUUGUAAUGACGGGACUACUGUAAUUUCAUUGGUUGAAAUACUAUUGUAAUUCAUAUUGAAUUGUACAUGCAUUCUACGAAUGUCUGUAACAUCGGUUGCAUAUUGAGUUUUUGUUAACUCUUAAAUGAAUGUUCCUUCAAAAUAAAAUUUGUAAAAAUUUUAAUUUUUGUGUAUGUAAAUUAUUCUUAUUUAUUAAAAAAUGGUUCUUUUGUCAGAUUACACAGGCCAACAUGGUAAAUGAAAUGCGGGCAGUUCAGCUACUUAUUGGCGGAAAUGGUCGUGGAGUGUUUUUGCCGACGAAGUUUCAGCAUAAAUGUUAAUCAGAGUUAAAUGGCAUCUUGACAUCUUCUGUAUGAUGAAGACGUGCUCUAUGGCCAUUGUUCCUUAAUGGGUAUAUAUGACUUCUGGCAGUACUGGCUCACUGAAAGCAACGUUAUUGGUGCCUUGUGGAUGAAGUAAGGUGGAGUGUGAAACUGCACCAGCAUCAUGUACAUCUACAAGCACAAAUAUUCUCCAGUUUGUGGAUCGUUUAUUGAUGGCUAUAGGAUUUUUGUCACAUUUUUUCCAGUGAAUCGUGUGAGAGGCAGGGUUUUGUAAUGAUCCCAUGGAUUCUAAUGCAGGAAGCCAUAAUUUCUGUGAAAACUGGUGGAUGCUCAUUGAAUUCUAUAAGGAAACACACAUGGUCCUGUUGAUUGGCUAUUUCAGAAGAAUGAGUAAUUGGUGCAGCCAACUAAUACAAGAAAUCACCAUUGAGAGCAAUACCACCUCAGUAUUGCAGUUCUCAUUUGUCUGAAACGGGAAGAAUGAAAUGGCUUCUAUUUGGCCAUCUUCCAUCUUAUCAUACUUAUUUCUCAGUGAUUUUCAUCUCUUUGGAUGUGAAGAGUUACCAGCUGUGGAAGAAUUUGCACAAUUUGUUGCUUUAAUGUUUGCAGUUACAAUUUUGGGAGACAUCAUUACAAGUUACUGACAUAAGCCCUGGUGGCUGAAUGGACAUGACAGUCUAAGGAACCUCUGUGGAAAUUACUGUUGUCCAAAAGGUAUGUUUACUGAGUCUUUCACAAAUUUGUUGCUGUUGUGUCACAGUGUAGCAAAGACAAGCCUCAUUUUGAGACAAAAAUCAGUACUUUUAUCAGAUUAAUUUGUUUUUACUUUUGAAUACAUUGUGGGAGUGAACAAUGAUCAAUGUUGUUACAGAUAUUUACUAUCAAAAACAGUCUUGAUCACAAAUUAUUUAUUCUGAUGACUGGUUUUGACUAAAACUGUGGUCAUCUUCAGACCAAUGAGUAAGAAUCUCCUUCUGAUGGUAAAUCACUACGCUCUGAUAUACCAUCAGAAGGAGGUUCUUACUCAUUGGUCUCAAGAUGACCACAGUUGUGGUCGAAACCGGUCACCAGAAUAAAUAAUUUGUGAUUAAGACUGUUUUUGAUAGUAAAUAAUUUUUUUUGCCUGCUGCUUUGACAGUUUAUUUCAUAAUUUUUCCGACGAACACAUUAUUUCAUUGUACUAAAGUGUGCCAAUUAAUAGGGAAAAGCUCAUAUUUUACAAGGAAUUGAAGUUGGUUACCUGUAACAAAGUUUCAGCCCAAUUGUUGGACUCCUUGUGGACUACUGCUGCCUUGACUGUGAACGAUAGUUGUAGGUCCUCCCUCCAGUUCAGUUGAGUACUUGUAUGUGUAGCAACGUGUGCUAUUUCUGUAUUCUCGUGAGGAAAACUAAAAUGGAUAUUUCACCCAAUAAGUGGCAAAAAUACUUGCCCUUCAUGAACAAGCAUUUGUGAUUGUAGGAGUCAUUGCUUCUGUUGUUGGUGUGGAGAAAGUCUAGUGUUUAAGGGGUUACUAGGUCAUACAGUGGUACUACCUAAUUGUCUCCAAAGAGAAAAGGCAGAUGUGGAUGAAAACAAAAAACCAUUUCUAGAACUGGUUGAAACUGAGUCUUUAAUGGUACAGCGUUGGCUUCUUGAUUGUGUGUCAAAGGUGCAAAAGCCAGUAAAGUAGCAGUUGUUAAAACCUUGAAGAAGAAAAUUUUGGCAUGGGCCAAAUUAUAAAACUCAUGGACCUCCAGUAAUUUGAAAGUGUAAUUUCAUUGUUGAACCCCACUUUGUUGAAGGAUACAGAGCAAGGGUUGUCAGGUGAAGCACAUGUGGGACAAUGAGCUGAGCAUCUGGAACAGACUGUAAAAUACCCUCCCAAAAGAAAUGUUUAGAGGUUUCUUCAUGGCAUGUGGCCCUGGGGCACUAGUUCCAGUUGAUAGCAUGGAAAUCCUUAGCACAGGAUUGUACCAUUCCUACUGACCUUCGCAGGUGGUUAAGGAAAAUUUCAACAUGAGCUAGUGCUGUGCCAUACUUAUAAAGCACUCAGGACUUUCAUGGAAGAAAACAUUAAUGGUGUUUCAUUGACCUGGUAAUUCACCACACAUCAGUCCCAUCAAGAGUCUGUGGAGUAUUGUCAAAGGGCAUCUUGGUAAAAUAGACUGUACAGCAAAAGUAUGCAUAUUAGUAAAUGUAGUGAAAGCGUAGUUUCUAGACAGUGUGUACAAAAAAUGUACUCUAACCUAGUCAAAUCCUUGCUUCAGCAGAUUCAGAAGCUCAUUAAAACAAAAGGAGCACAAAUUAGUUAUUAACAUUCAGUAAGCUACUACUGCAUUACACAUAUAGUAUAAAUGGGCACAAUUAAAAGUUUUUCUUGUCCCAAUUAAUUUGCACACUGUUGUACACUGCCUGACAAGAGUGAACCACAUAGAAGGAGAGGAGGAAACAAAAUGAUGCUUCAUGGAUUGAGAGGGAAUGUGAUGCUAUUUCAGUGAUUACUAAAUUAAGUCAAAUUUAGAAAGAACUGGGCAAUAUGAGCCCACUUCUUAGUAUUGUAUUGCCUCUGGACUAGAUGCAUACACUAUUUUGGUUGGGAAGAGUGUCAUGAAGCUGUUGUAUGCUCUCCUGAGGCAAGCUGGCCCACAACUGUUGUAGCUGAUCCCUGAUAUACUGGAAACCGACACUGAGAUGGAGGUGAUGUCUGAGCUGGUCCAACACUUUUUCUAUCGGGAGCAGGGUUGAAGAUCUUGGUGGCCAUGGGAGUAUGUCAGCAUCAUGCACACAGUUCAUGAAUAUGUGUUGUGUGUGGAUAAACAUAGUCCAUUCAAAAAUGACACCACAAUACUAUCCUGAGAGGUAAUAUGACAAACAAGGCAGGGCAUCUCCAGAUCACUGGAUGAAUGGCGCCUCUUUCUGGGAUGCCGAGAAAUGUCAUCCAGUUAGGGCACAACCACAAUUAAUCGCUGAACAGUGCAACACCAUUUAUCAGCAGUCUGUGCUGGCCAGUCAUAACCCCGAGCCCAAAUUUUGCCAUUUGUGUUGUUUCCAACAGGCUAUACAUGGAGUAAUAAUUCCCUAGUCCACCUGCUACUAGCCUCCGACCAAUGGUGCAGGAAAAUGUAGAAUGUUGCAGGCAGACCACUACUUGUUUUCGUAAACAGGUGGCAAAGGGUUUAUGAUGUGCCUGGUUCACAAUACAGCAGUCCUCCCUUGUGACAGAUGUGGUAGAUGGUAACUUUGAUGACAAAUAUAGUUGGUCUUUUGUUCUUGUUUGGACAUUAUUGGACCACUGUCACAUCUUGACGCCCCACAAAUCUGGCCCAACAGAGACCUACAAUGAACCCCUUUCAAACUCUGUCAGGUGUUGAUAAUGCUGUCUGACAUUAGUGUGGGGCAUCUGUGCCCUUCAUAAUGACUGCUCAGCAUCUGAUGGUGUUCAGCUUAUAUAACCUACCAGGCAUGGUAACAGCAGUAAAAAUGAACAAAACUAAUGCACUCUGAAUGUUCUACGUCCCACAGAGAGAUCAACUCAAGUCACUUAAAUACACUACUGGCCAUUAAAAUUGGUACACCACGAAGAUGACAUGCUACAGACGCGAAAUUUAACCGAUAGGAAGAAGAUGCUGUGAUAUGCAAAUGACUAGCUUUUCAGGGCAUUCACA